GAUGAACGCUGGCGGCGUGCCUAAUACAUGCAAGUCGAGCGAACAGACGAGGAGCUUGCUCCUCUGACGUUAGCGGCGGACGGGUGAGUAACACGUGGAUAACCUACCUAUAAGACUGGGAUAACUUCGGGAAACCGGAGCUAAUACCGGAUAAUAUAUUGAACCGCAUGGUUCAAUAGUGAAAGACGGUUUUGCUGUCACUUAUAGAUGGAUCCGCGCCGCAUUAGCUAGUUGGUAAGGUAACGGCUUACCAAGGCAACGAUGCGUAGCCGACCUGAGAGGGUGAUCGGCCACACUGGAACUAAGACACGGUCCAGACUCCUACGGGAGGCAGCAGUAGGGAAUCUUCCGCAAUGGGCGAAAGCCUGACGGAGCAACGCCGCGUGAGUGAUGAGGGUCUUCGGAUCGUAAAACUCUGUUAUUAGGGAAGAACAAAUGUGUAAGUAACUAUGCACGUCUUGACGGUACCUAAUCAGAAAGCCACGGCUAACUACGUG
rnacentral:rRNA from 1 species